UACGUAGGGGGCAAGCGUUGUCCGGAUUUAUUGGGCGUAAAGAGCGUGUAGGCGGCCAGGUAGGUCUGCCGUGAAAACUCGAGGCUUAACCUCGAGCUGUCGGCGGAAACCAUCUGGCUAGAGUCCGGAAGAGGAGAAUGGAAUUCCCGGUGUAGCGGUGAAAUGCGCAGAUAUCAGGAGGAACACCGAUUGCGAAGGCAGCUCGCUGGGACGUUACUGACGCUGAGACGCGAAAGCGUGGGGAGCAAACAGG
rnacentral:rRNA from 1 species